GUCCUUGUAGCGCAAUGGAUCGCUCGUUGGACUUCUGAUCCAAAGGUGGUGGGUUGGAAUCUCACUUGGGAUG
rnacentral:tRNA from 1 species